AGUGGAACCACAUGCGAUGCCUUCCCAACUGUGGCAGCAGUCAGAUGAAGGUGUCCAGGAAUCUAGCAGUUUUGAAGGGUCAGAGAUGAUCCUGCUCUUGAAUUCUAGUAAUGCUUCUUUGUCCACCACGUGACAUGGCUCCGAAAUUGAGCAUUUUGAAGAGAGGCAUGUGCCUCUAACGGCAACUUGGAUUUUCCCUGACUUGGCUCUUUGGAAGCAAGUGCCUUUAGUUCAACAAAAAGAA
rnacentral:sRNA from 1 species